rnacentral:rRNA from 1 species
AGAGUUUGAUCCUGGCUCAGGAUGAACGCUAGCGGCAGGCUUAAUACAUGCAAGUCGUGGGGCAGCGCAGGUAGCAAUACUGGGCGGCGACCGGCAAACGGGUGCGGAACACGUACACAACCUUCCUACAAGUGGGGAAUAGCCCAGAGAAAUUUGGAUUAAUACCCCGUAACAUACCGAUGUGGCAUCACAUUGUUAUUAUAGCUUCGGCGCUUGUUGAUGGGUGUGCGGCUGAUUAGAUAGUUGGCGGGGUAACGGCCCACCAAGUCUACGAUCAGUAGCUGAUGUGAGAGCAUGAUCAGCCACACGGGCACUGAGACACGGGCCCGACUCCUACGGGAGGCAGCAGUAAGGAAUAUUGGUCAAUGGACGCAAGUCUGAACCAGCCAUGCCGCGUGAAGGAUUAAGGUCCUCUGGAUUGUAAACUUCUUUUAUCUGGGACGAAAAAAGGCGAUUCUUCGUCACUUGACGGUACCAGAUGAAUAAGCACCGGCUAACUCCGUGCCAGCAGCCGCGGUAAUACGGAGGGUGCAAGCGUUAUCCGGAUUCACUGGGUUUAAAGGGUGCGUAGGCGGGCAGUUAAGUCAGUGGUGAAAUCCUAGAGCUUAACUCUAGAACUGCCAUUGAUACUAUCUGUCUUGAAUAUUGUGGAGGUAAGCGGAAUAUGUCAUGUAGCGGUGAAAUGCUUAGAUAUGACAUAGAACACCUAUUGCGAAGGCAGCUUACUACGCAUAUAUUGACGCUGAGGCACGAAAGCGUGGGGAUCAAACAGGAUUAGAUACCCUGGUAGUCC